AUUGAACGCUGGCGGCAGGCCUAACACAUGCAAGUCGAGCGGAUGAAGGGAGCUUGCUCCUGGAUGCAGCGGCGGACGGGUGAGUAAUGCCUAGGAAUCUGCCUUGUAGUGGGGGAUAACGUCCGGAAACGGGCGCUAAUACCGCAUACGUCCUGAGGGAGAAAGUGGUGGAUCUUCGGACCUCACGCUAUCAGAUGAGCCUAGGUCGGAUUAGCUAGUUGGUUGGGUAAAGGCCUACCAAGGCGACGAUCCGUAACUGGUCUGAGAGGAUGAUCAGUCACACUGGAACUGAGACACGGUCCAGACUCCUACGGGAGGCAGCAGUGGGGAAUAUUGGACAAUGGGCGAAAGCCUGAUCCAGCCAUGCCGCGUGUGUGAAGAAGGUCUUCGGAUUGUAAAGCACUUUAAGUUGGGAGGAAGGGCAGUAAGUUAAUACCUUGCUGUUUUGACGUUACCAACAGAAUAAGCACCGGCUAACUUCGUG
rnacentral:rRNA from 1 species